AUAUGUGUCUAGCUUUGCAGCUGAAAUGUGAGACAUCAUUGCAAUUAAAUGUUUAUAUGCUGAGAAACACAGUGUCUUCAUAGAACACAAAGCACUGUGUUCAAUGCAUAUUAAAUACUAGAAACUCAAUGCAUACUGAAUAAUUUUAGGUGGAAACUGUUUCUUUUGCUACAAUUGUAAUUGUUUUCUUUAUAGUUCUAGGAAGUUAUCCCACACUCUGUUUUAAAUGUGUUUCCACAUUUAAUGAAGUGUCUGGUUUAAUGAUGUGUCUGUUUUAAUGACAUAGGAGAACCCCAGUCAGAAAGUUUCAUUAUGUGAAGAUGAAAAGAGGGGGGUUUUCAUCCCAAAUCCUGUUCCCCUAAGAGGCAAUAGCUCAGGUUUCCUUCUGUCCUGGAAAAAAUACCACGAAGAUGAUCUCAUGGAUAUCACAGCUUUUCAGCUUUCUCCAGAAUAUGGUAAACUGGACAGUAUGAGGAAGGAUGGACAGCAGCUGGCCCCUGCCUGGAUACUCUGAGGGAACAACAAAACGAGUCAGACUGUGCCUGCAGGGCACGAGGGGAUGCCUGGAAGGAGGGAUGUGCCUCUGACUGCCCACAGCCCAGGUUUUCUCCAUGUGCAGCACCUUCACUUCUGUGUGGCACUGAAUGGAUGCUGCACUCCCAGCCUGGCCUGACCCCCUGGUCUCCACUGCUGGCUGGGUUGUGAGAGUGGUUCUGCUGAAGCAGACUGGAGGGCCAGGUGUCCCUGAGUGCCAGGUCAGUGGGGCUGGCCCAGGGCUGCAGUGCAGGUGCAGCAAAGGCACCGUGCUGUGCCAGCCCCAGCAUCAGCCCCACUGAGCCAGGAGAACCUGGGCUGCCCAAUUCAGCCAGUGCAACCUGAAGGCUGAUCAAUCCAGCCUACAUUGAUUUGAAUGGCUUUUUGUUUAAAGUUUGUCAGUUUUUUGAGACUAUCUUGGUGAAAUUUCCUUUUUCCAUUUGAAAGAAAAGAAAAAUGUGCACACCGAAAGAUGCAAAAGGCAUUAAAGAAAUGCACAGAUCAUCAUUUCAGGCAUUCUGAGCAGUGGGAUUGAGUGAAAUAAUUUAUAGCAUCUGUUUUGAUAUUCGAGUGGCUUUAAAUUGUAGAGUUCCACUAAACAAUUUUGAGUAAAUAAAUCUUUCCUAGGUAACUUUUAAUCUGUUCCAUUGUUUUCUCAGUCAGUAUUGCUAUGCUCUGCCAAACAU